rnacentral:lncRNA from 1 species
AUUUUCAGUGUGCAGAUGACAUGCAAGUAUUUUCAUUAGGAAGAGCCUACAUAUCUCCAGUGAAAUAGAAUAGCUGUUGGAAGAUACAGUUCUGCUGUCUUACACUGGUUUUACUCAAUUCAGUUCUCCUAUUGGCCAGUUCAAUUCUUACAAUUCAGUUCAGUCUUACAUUGGCUUCCACUAGUCAAUUCAGCUGCAGAGCUUUGAAGUUUUCUACUAUAACUGAUGUACCUAAAACUUUCCCUUAAUUUGGGAUCCACUAGAUUGUUAGAACUCUUCUGGUGGGCUGGAUCCACUGUAGUUGAUGGAUCAUGUGGCUUGUUUGGACAGUCUCUCUUUUUCAUCCUCUUUUCUGAGAGCCUGUGUGACUAAUGUAAUGAAAUGAAUGGCAUUGAAAUAAUGUUAAUUUUGCAAAAAAAUAAAAAUACAAAAAAUUACAACAGAGAGAGAUGUAGAGACUGAAACUUAAGUCUUGAGAACUGAUGAGUCAUGAUAAGUCUUGAGAACUGAUAAAUAAAUACAAUCAUUAGUAUGGUUAAUGUGUUGUUUGUUAUAUUUGGUGUUUCUUAGAUUCAAACCCACUGUACAGCAGUGCUCUCACCUUCCAUUACCUACCACAGUGUGAUCCCAUUGGAAGUGCACAAGGAAGGUCAAGUGGCCUGUUCCCUUUUAUCUGCAGAAAACUGGGACCAGUUGUUGGACAAGAGCUGAAUACCUCUUCCUUCAGCUAUAAAUGGCCUAGUCAGAAAAUCAAGGUAAUACAGUGGAGGAAAACAGUUGUGAUCCCAAAAUUACUUCUUUUUAUUGUUGUUCACCUUGCAAAGGUACUUAGCAACUGAGUCAGGACAGGAGCUAUGACCAGGAAAACCUCAAUUCCUGAAUGAUGUCUACAUGCAGUAGAUAUGUUGCUUCUGGGAAAAACUAGAUUUGCUGCACAUAUAUUAUGAUCAGUCAAUCCAAAUACAGUAGGUCAGUGCAUCUCAAAAGAGUCAGAUCUACUGCAUGGACUCAGAUCAUCCAUAUCUAAAUCUUUUAGAAAUAUAGGAGUUACUGACCAUGUGUUGAACAGUAUGCAUACAUAUCUUUCUCUCUGGUCCCAAAUUCCCUGAACAGGAAAUACCUAGAGAGUACAGAUAAAAGAGAAAAUAUCUGCCUUUCACCUCUCACCUCAGUUUCCUAACCUCACCUCUCUUUUAAACCAGUCUUAGGGUGUUCACUAGGUUUAUUCUUAUAUGAAAUACUUUAAUUUUAUAAGCAACCUGAAUAAUACAGCAAAGGCA